rnacentral:rRNA from 1 species
UACGAAGGGGGCUAGCGUUGCUCGGAAUUACUGGGCGUAAAGGGCGCGUAGGCGGGUGUUUAAGUCAGAGGUUAAAUCCCAGGGCUCAACCCUGGAACUGCCUUUGAUACUGGGCACCUAGAGUUCGGGAGAGGUGUGUGGAACUCCGAGUGUAGAGGUAAAAUUCGUAGAUAUUCGGAAGAACACCAGUGGCGAAGGCGACACACUGGCCCGAUACUGACGCUGAGGCGCGAAAGCGUGGGGAGCAAACAGG